UUAGUGGAAGCGUCUGGAAAGGCGCGCGAUACAGGGUGACAGCCCCGUACACAAAAGCGCAUGUGCUGUGAGCUCGAUGAGUAGGGCGGGACACGUGGUAUCCUGUCUGAAUAUGGGGGGACCAUCCUCCAAGGCUAAAUACUCCUGACUGACCGAUAGUGAACCAGUACCGUGAGGGAAAGGCGAAAAGAACCCCGGCGAGGGGAGUGAAAAAGAACCUGAAACCGUGUACGUACAAGCAGUGGGAGCCCCACCACCAAAGCAUUCUCUGGUGUUGAAGGCCCUGCAAAGCAGCAUCGCGGUGGCGGAGCGUCGUUUGCGACGCCCAACACACAAAACAAGCGGUGAGUGCUUUGGGGUGGGGUGACUGCGUACCUUUUGUAUAAUGGGUCAGCGACUUAUAUUCUGUAGCAAGGUUAACCGAAUAGGGGAGCCGGAGGGAAACCGAGUCUUAAUUGGGCGUUAAGUUGCAGGGUAUAGACCCGAAACCCGGUGAUCUAGCCAUGGGCAGGUUGAAGGUUGGGUAACACUAACUGGAGGACCGAACCGACUAAUGUUGAAAAAUUAGCGGAUGACCUGUGGCUGGGGGUGAAAGGCCAAUCAAACCGGGAGAUAGCUGGUUCUCCCCGAAAGCUAUUUAGGUAGCGCCUCGUGAAYUCAUCUCCGGGGGUAGAGCACUGUUUCGGCYAGGGGGCCAUCCCGGCUUACCAACCCGAUGCAAACUGCGAAUACCGGAGAAUGUUAUCACGGGAGACACACGGCGGGUGCUAACGUCCGUCGUGAAGAGGGAAACAACCCAGACCGCCAGCUAAGGUCCCAAAGUCAUGGUUAAGUGGGAAACGAUGUGGGAAGGCCCAGACAGCCAGGAUGUUGGCUUAGAAGCAGCCAUCA
rnacentral:rRNA from 1 species